AUUGAACGCUGGCGGCAUGCCUUACACAUGCAAGUCGAACGGCAGCACGGGAGCAAUCCUGGUGGCGAGUGGCGAACGGGUGAGUAAUAUAUCGGAACGUGCCCAGUCGUGGGGGAUAACGCAGCGAAAGCUGUGCUAAUACCGCAUACGACCUAAGGAUGAAAGCGGGGGAUCUCAAGACCUCGCGCGAUUGGAGCGGCCGAUAUCAGAUUAGCUAGUUGGUGGGGUAAAGGCCCACCAAGGCGACGAUCUGGAGCUGGUCUGAGAGGACGACCAGACAGACUGGAACUGAGACACGGUACAGACUCCUACGGGAGGCAGCAGUGGGGAAUUUUGGACAAUGGGCGCAAGCCUGAUCCAGCAAUGCCGCGUGCAGGAUGAAGGCCUUCGGGUUGUAAACUGCUUUUGUACGGAACGAAACGGCCCUUUCUAAUACAGGGGGCUAAUGACGGUACCGUAAGAAUAAGCACCGGCUAACUACGUGCCAGCCGCCGCAGUAA
rnacentral:rRNA from 1 species